UGCAGUGGAGAAAACCUGAUGGAGCAUGGU
rnacentral:piRNA from 1 species